CGCCGUUACUGCGGCGUAACUCAAUAACGCUUUUGGCAUCGCAAGGCUCGCGCCCUCCCAUCUCCCAGCUAAGCCCCGAAAACAAAUCCGCUCUGCUUUGUACUAAUUGAAGAAAACAUUCAGCAAGCAGCUCAUAAACACGGUGUCAGCUCGCAUUACACAAAAUUAAAAUUCUCAGCCCCUCCAACACCAGGAAUUCCUAAAGAGGCUGGUUUUAAUAUUGCCUGAAUCCGUUUAAGUCAAGGUAAUAUUGUUUAGGUUGCCAUAGGAACAAAAUACAUCUCCGUUGCUGGCAGUGGGUUACGAGGAGGCUUGGGAGACCGUGGCUACACCACGUCUAGAAGCGGCCGCCUGCACAAACUACGCGGAGGGACAGGCCGAAAAAUAAGCACCUUCCCAGGUUCCUAAUGAAAAGUGCAUUGAGGAAGAGGAGAGACACGAGCAGGAUCUCUGCGUGCUCCCGGAGGAGAGAAGAGCCUCGGCAGCAGCAGGACCGUGUCUAAGGGCCCGUAACUCACAAAAACUAUAUCCCGCUUCUUCUGGAAGGACCUUUAUGCUGCAUAAGUCCCAUCGUCCAUGUUCCUCCACUUCUGUUUUGACCAAGUCUCCCCAUGUCCUUACUCAACGCCCUCGUUUCCUCAGAAUCCCGGCCCAGAUUGAUUUCUGUUCAAGAUUUAUUUUUUUCUGUUCAAGACGGGACUUUGAGCAACCUGGUCUGGUGGGAGGUGUCCCUGCCCAAGGCAGGGGGUUGGAACUAGAUGAUCUCUAAGGUCCUUUCCAACCCAAGGUCCUCCAUCUGGGUCGGGGCAAUCCCAAGCACCGAUAGAGGCUGGGCAGCGACUGGCUGGAGAGCAGCCCUGAAGAAGAAAAGGACUUGGGGGUGCCGGUGGACGAGAGGCUCCACGUGAGCCGUCAGCGUGCGCUAGCAGCCCAGAAAGCCCAUCGCAGCCCAGAAAGCCCAUCGUAUCCUGGGCUGCAUCGGGAGAAACGUGGCCAGCAGGUCGAGGGAGGUGAUUCUCCCCCUCUGCUCCGCUCUCGUGAGACCCCACCUGGAGCACCGCGUCCAGUUCUGGAGCCCCUUCUACAAGAGAGACACGGACGUGCUGGAACGUGUCCAGAGAAGGCCCCGAGGAUGAUCAGAGGGCUGGAGCACCUCUCCUGUGAGGACAGACUGAGAGAGUUGGGGUUGUUCACUCUGGAGAAAAGAAGGCUCCGAGGAGACCUUAGAGUGGCCUACCAGGAUCUUCAGGGGGCCGACAAGAAAGCUGGGGAGGGACUUUUUAGGAUGUCGGGUCAUGGUAGGACUGGAGGGAAUGGAUUAAAACUAGAGCUGGGUCGAUUCAGACUGGACGUUGGGAAGAAGUUCUUCACCAUGAGGGUGGUGAGACAGUGGCCCAGGUUGCCCGGAGAGGUGGUGGAAGCCCCAUCCCUGGAGGUGUCCAAGGCUAGGCUGGACGGGGCUCUGAGCAACCUGCUCUAGUGGGAGGUGUCCCUGCCCAGGGCAGGGGGGUUGGAACUAGAUGAUCUUUAAGGUCCCUUCCAACCCUGGCAAUUCGAUGAUUCUAUGAUAAACCAUUCUGUGAUUCUAUGACUCUAUGAUUUCCUUACAGGAGCUGUGGUAAGGCCCUCGACUUUUAUUCCUGCGAACCAUCCGGCAAGUAGAGGCAGGUGGCUUUCUGUGCUGGAGGGGCGGCUCGUAACACGCAGCCCUUCCCCAAACCCCGCCGUCCCCCGCUCUCCCGCGGUGACGGGGCCACCCUUGCCAGGUACGGUGGCUCUCCACAGCAGCCAGCGUUAACCGCUGCUUCCGAGGAGGAAAAUGAACAGAUUCCCUUCCAAACCCACCCGAGAACAGCGGGACGACGGCGGAGACCGUGGGAGUCCUACCCUGAGCCGCCUGCGGGACGCGCAGAGCUGCAGCGAGCAGGCACGGCGUUUUGUUUCUCCGUGGCCCGCGCGAAGUUUCCCGCUGUAAUUCCGAAGCUUUUUGCGGGGUCCUGCACUUGGUACUUUUUAAAAGAUAUUCUUCAAGCUGUCCGGAUCAAGAGAGCAAAGCCUCUUGCCAGGGCAGGAUGAAGGAAGGCCGAGCUUCUUUCUAGCUUCACCUUUCUCCCGCCGCCAGCAAAACCGUAUCCAGGAAUCAGGAAAGGGAUUUGGGACGAUGCUGCUUUUUUCCGUGCAAGCCUGACCGGCUCCGAUAUUACCGCGACUGCAUCGGCAAGACCUCAAUAAUGGGAAAAAAGCCCCUGUGCGAGCAAAGAUGUGUGAAGCUGCCACCAAGAUAGUUAGGAUAAACUGUAAUUAACCACGUUUAAGCUUAAUUGCAUUAAGGGGGAGAGAUGAAAGCUGGAAGCAGAUUAUGGAUCCGGUUUAUAAUUCAAUUUGUGCACCAGCUAGGAAAGAAGGGGCCACAUUCUCCAGCAGCGUGUUAGCAACGCGGGAGGUGUGGAGCUACCCGGGCUGCGGAGACGAUGGCUGAGCAGAAACAGCCGAGGAGAGGGAGGAUUGGGAAGCAGGAGGCAGGAAAAUACCUCGGGAGAAAGGAGGGAGAAAGAGCCACUUCCCUUCUCCCAGAGGACGGGCUGGAGGCUCUGGUUUUCGGGGCUCUGUCUGACACCGACACUCGUCCGACAGCUGCCCCCCGUGUUUCUGUAGCGCCUGGUUUCACACAGGCUUCUCGAAGAAGGAGGCGGAGGGCGAAGAAGCUGGAUGAUGGGUCGUACGUGCUACGCCUGCGGCGUUAGGCAGGUUUAGAAAUAAGCGCGGUGUGGUAAGGCAGGAACACCUCUGCGUUUCGUAAAUCGCUUCCCCUUCGAUCCUUGCCGUCGGUCCCACCAGCCGCGGGCUCUCCGCAAGCUUUUUGCUGAGACCGAGUGCCUGUAAAUACCUUUGAGCCCAUCCUUUCUAAACCUCUGCCUGUUAGAAGAGAGAAGAACGGGGUCUGGGCUCCCUUUGCCGUGCUCCGGGAAUCCCCUAGUAGCCUGGGAAGAAAACUGGUUUCUUAAAGCGUGAGCAGCUCAGGGCUCGCCGUUGGCCGUCGUCGGGAUGUUUGUGCCGCAUGGGGAACGGCUCCUGCCUGCUGUUUCCAGCGCCGCAGCCCCUGGCACUGCUGGAAACUGGCUCUCAGGAGUUUAUUUCUGGCACCUUUGCCUUCGCGGCUGCCCUCUGGUGGUCCCUGGGUCCGGACUGAGAGAGAUGCUGCUGCGUCCAGAAGCAGGAGAAGGGUCCAGCCUCCAACAACCCUUCAGCGCCUUCAAAACCGUCCGUCUGCAGCCCAGAGCCCUUCCCGGUGUGCCGCUUUAGGAGCCGGUGUUGGGAAAACGAACGGAGCAGCGCGGCGGCUUUCCCGCAAACCAACCGCAGCGCUUGGCGCGUGCGCGAUAACGUCCAGACCCUCCCCCCCGCCCCGACCACGCUGCUCGUACCUGCUGCGAGGGACAAGAAUUACUCCAGGGAAACGGAUGCCGGGAUGAGAACAGGCGGAGUUCUAACCCCGCUCCUCGCCCAGGCAGCCCGUCUCUCCGGGUAGGAACCCACAAACCCGGCUGCGCUGGGUCUAAACCCAAUUAAUCUCAGGGAAAUAGGGCCAGGCACGUUGUCAGAACACAGCCGGGUACCGUCUCCCCUGCAAACCCUCGCCCUUACAGCCACCGCCGACCCCAGCCGAACUUCCCCUUCUCCUUCCCCAGCCCAGCGAGCCGUGGCCUAAGCCCGGAGCCGGCUCGGGGAGCUCCGCGAGCGAGACCGCCAGGCUGCAAGCCCGGGAAGGUAGAGCCGCCGCACGUCUAUCGGCGCCACGGUAAUUAGCUCGGCCCUGACGAAGAGGUUGUCCAACCCCGGGGCCGCUCUGGGACUGCUUGCCCGCUGGACCGUGUCCACCUCCCCCAAACCCAGGUGGCAGCAUCUUUUGUGCCCAUAAAAUCACCUGCAGCCCGAAAGGGAUAAGCAACGUCUUUCACUGGAAGUGCCGAAGAUCCAAACCCUUUACAACCACUCGAUUGUUAAGGUACAUCUGCGUCCUCCGGUUGGAGGGAGCCAAUACCUUGAAUUAUAACUGUUUCCUUUGAUAUCUAAGUCUUUGUUGGGUUUCUAUUUUCCUUUUCCGCAUCAAAUUAUUUUUACGGAGGGGCAGAGCCGGUGUUAGACUGUGGUCACGGGGCUCCAGGAGCUGGGUGGUUAAGAAAACUCUGCCCAAUAACAGGAUAAAAGUUGGCGACGUGGGGUC